rnacentral:rRNA from 1 species
GCCCUACGGGGCGCAGCAGGCGCGAAAACUUUACAAUGCGGGAAACCGUGAUAAGGGAACUCCGAGUGUCCGUCAAUGCGGACUGUCCGUAUGUUUAAAAAGCAUGCGAAGAAAGGGCCGGGCAAGACCGGUGCCAGCCGCCGCGGUAAUACCGGCGGCUCGAGUGGUGGCCACGAUUACUGGGCUUAAAGCGUUCGUAGCUGGGUUGUUAAGUCUCUUGGGAAAUCUACCGGCUUAACCGAUAGGCGUCCAAGGGAUACUGGCAAUCUAGGAC